rnacentral:tRNA from 1 species
UACAAUCUGGUGUAGGGCAUAUCUUGUUUUGGUCAAGAAGGAGAUUGGUUGUCGGUUGUGC